GGGACCAACUCUCAACCUCCAGGAUUCUUCUUCGGCGUUUAUCCUCGUCCUUUUUUCAGUUAUACCUAAUUCUUAUUUUUCAUUCUUUUUUUUAAUUUACUUUAUCUAACCCCUCCGCACGCUGAACACCACCCUUCAUAGAUGUGAAUAGAUAAUGAGGACCCCCUACCAGCGGUGACUUGUCGUCUCCUUCAAACAGCGAGCAUCCUCAUCUUCCACCCCCUAAUUUUUUGGACGUUUUCAACAAUGUAGGAGAAGCUGUCAUUUCAGCGACGAGGAUGCCAACUACAUGCCUUGUUUUUUUCUCUCCACACCUUACAUCUUUACAUUCAACUAGGGGAUAUGAAAGAUUUUCGUGAAGGCAAAGUUUGACGGUACCUCUGUCGGUUUCCCGCUCACCUGUCCGCCUGCCCGCGUGAACCCCUUCUCUGUCUAUCGCCAACAUAACAAUUGACGAGCAACUUAAAAUACUUAUUGUUCUGCUGUUGUGAGUGGGAUUUGGCAGCGUUAUUGGAGGAAUUUCAUGUGCGCAACGUUGAAGGAUAUGGCUUAAAAUAAUGGUUGCGUUACUGACAGCCGGAGUACGGUCCGUCACUUGAGUGUUUUAUCAGCUAUUGUCGACUUUGGAGAAAACCCAUCUAAAUGGGAGGAUACCUGGAGGACUGAGUCGGAUUCGGCAGUCGAGAAAAUGUGGAUAAAACGGAGUCUUGGGCGCAGUCCGUCUGCUUUGAGGCCAGGCAGCUGUGUUGGGCACCGGGUGUGGAUCCUGCUGGCCAUGACCCAUCUCACCCUGGACUUCUCUGUGUGCAGCCCCCUCAAUCAGGGUACGGGGGUCAAACUCACGCCUAAAUCGGUGCCACGCUCUCGACCUCACUGGCAGCCGCUCUGGGACACGCCCAACAAGCUCCACUGGAGAACAGUGAGCCCAUUGGCCCGUCGUCUCCUCAACCCUAUCCCUCCACCCCAAGACAGCAGGGCAGGGGUAGGGCCUAAAGUCAAGAGUCAAAAGCAUCGGAAGCCAGCACAUAAAGGACAAGCUGCGUGUAAGGAGUGCCGGUUGAGAAACUCUCAAAUGGAGAGUGGUGAUCCUUUGGCUGUAAUAGCGGAAGCUCCAGCAGCUUUAUCCAGCGGCAGUAGAGACGCAGUGAGGUUGUUACUUCGAGCCCGGAGGCAGCUCAAAUGGGACUAUGAUAAGUCUCAGGAGGGCCGGACUACCACAGUGGCCGAUUUUAUUGACUGGGGACCCACGGGGACAGAUAGCGCAGAUGAAGACGGCAAACCCAACAUAACGCUGUCCACCAAGGUCUCAACCACCACAGUGGCCACGACCUCUAGCACUACAACCAAGCUCCCUCAAAGGACGUUCACUGUGGUGACCACACCGGAGGCCAAGAGCAUAAGCACCACCAAGGCCGCAGUCAGCUUCGGGGAGACCGUGAAACCACCAAAGCCAUAUGGGGACACACCAGGUUUGGCAGUUCACCAGAUAAUCACAAUCACUGUGUCUCUCAUUAUGGUUAUCGCAGCCUUGAUCACAACUCUCGUCCUUAAAAACUGCUGUGCGCAGUCGGGAAAUGGCCGCCACAAUAGCCAUCAGCGCAAGAUCCACCAGCAGGAAGAGAGCUGCCAAAACCUGACAGACUUUACCCCGGCCCGGGUGCCCAGCAAGGUGGACAUAUUCACUGCCUACAAUGACAGCCUGCAGUGCUCACACGAGUGCGUCCGGACUGCCGUGCCAAUCUACACUGAUGAGAUGAUCCAGCAGACGCCUGUCUACAAGACUGCUUACAAUGGAAACAGGCCCUCCCCCACUGAGAGACAACUGAUUCCUGUGGCCUUCGUGUCAGAGAAAUGGUUUGAGAUCUCUUGUUGACAAGCUGAAGGCCUUCUUCACUUCCUGUGGGUGGAAGACACUUCCUGAAUUCACGCUCUGGAUCCAGUUGGAAACACACAAAACAGCUUCUUUUGUAAAAUAGUGCGAUCACUCUUUGGACACUGGUGAAGAUAUUUAUUUUUCUAGAGAUGACAAGCAGAGCAGCAACAACGCUGCCACUCAAUAUUUCCAGGAACGUACAGUCAUUUAGAUAUAGAUUAUAUAUAGGUAUAUUUACAGGAUGUGUGGGACUUUUGGACGUCACAGAUGUCUCAAGGAAAACAUUUGACAUUUGAAAAGAAACCCAAGGAGCUGCUGUGGGUGGAAGAGGAACUGUAAUUCUGAACAAUGUGCCAAUAAUGCCACUAUGUGCCACAACCUGGAUAGAAGGAAGUUUCAACAACAACUGAUGGACUAAACAAAGAGCGCUAUAUUAACCCUGUAUCGACUCCAACUACUUUUUUUGUGUUUUUUUUUUUUAAAGAAAUGUGAAAAUUAAAAACGCUACAAAUGUAUUUGAAUAUGUUUUGAAAUAGUUUUAAGAUAUAUGUCGAAAAAGACACUCAAAAGAUAUUUAUAUGAAGCACUAUUCUAUUAGUUUGGGAAGAGAGGAGGGAAAAAAGAAACGGUAUAUGCUUUAGCAAACAAAACAUGGUUUCUAUAGGUCCCAUUUUAAAAACAGAAUAGUUAGUAGUCUAUUUUUUUACACAGUAGAUUCUAACGGUGUAGGUCCCUAGCACCUGGGAUUCAGUGCUGUUAAUUAAAUACCCGAACAGAGAUUAGGAGAAAGAGAAAUCAUAUGAAUACACCUCGUGCAAGCCAACCAAACGCCCGCUCCAAUUGCUUAUUAUGUAAGAUUUUUACCUGAUUUGGCUUAAUGGAAAAACGGACAAAAGGAUUCUGUGGUAAAAGAACAAAUCCCAUAGCAGCAAAUUCAUGAAUAGCUAGAGUAAGUACAGCCACAACAGACUGCAUGGAGCUGGGCAGGACAUUCAUACUGCCUCAGGUCUGUCUAGCUCUCUUGCACACUUUAUGUUGGUCUCAGUUUCAGCAGCUGUUUGGGAUACAUUGUAAUGAACCGUUAUUAUUUAAAAAGGGAAGAUUUAGGGUGGAAUAGAUUCAAUUUGAGCCUUUAAAUUCAAUUUGCAUAAAAGGGGAAGAGAUUGAAAAAUGAGUCUGUCCACAGAGACUAAAUGAUCAUUCCCACGCAAUCCCCAAGACUAACUUUUGAUAAAGUUUUUUAUGAAGCCUAAAAAAGUCUGUAUUAAAGUCGGAAAGUCAUGACGAACACGAACCAAUUUGUAAUUGAUGGGACAUAAAAUUAUCCUCCCGUUUUCAAAUGAGAGUGUCGCUCAGGAUCAAAUGAUCUACGUCGUCGGUUUUAAACCCUAGAAAGGGAAGAAUUCCCUCGUCAAAAUGUGUGCUAGGGGUGAGUUAAAUCUCUCCAGUCAAAACUUUAUGGCAAUAUUUCCAUCAAAUCUGAAUUUGCUAUUACAGCCAAGAAGUCGGGGGUUGUGCACACGUUUAAAUUUAGGCUGUAGGAAGCAGAGCGCAAACACAAUACGAGUAAGAAGUUCAUUUUGUCCUCUCAAUCCCAAAACACUCUGUCAGUGUAUUGUUGAAGUAAGAGGAUUAUGACAAGCCAAUCAGCCAAUACCAAAUUGCUUUAAACUAUCUCUUAUGUCAAGGUUAGGGGACCCCUUGGUCGGGAAAGACAGUAAAUCUCUCCUGAGAGCUUUCCAGCCCCAAUAAUUUUAUUAUCGACCUCAAGCUCUGACAGACCGAUUACCUUUGUGCUACAAAAGCUCUUGAGGAAACCACCUUUGAAUCUACCUUUCAUUGUGCUGUGGGUUUGUACAAAGCACAAAUACAAUUCAGAAAUUGUAAACGUUUCUUGGUUGCAGACAGCAAUAUGUACAGAUUAAGGCAUUGGUUUUAUUGCGCGACGACAGCGGAUCUCCCGUAAUUCUCUCGGGUUGUUUCAAGGCUCACCUCCUUAAAGAAUUCAAGGUUGUCCGGUGAGAUCAGUAUCUGUAAAUGUGAGCCAUUCAGGAUGUGCCAACACGGCCUGGGAUAAACACUGUGGUGCAAAACUCACGAUUUUUGCCCAUUCACAACAUGAAAACCACUCUCAUGAAUGACCCAUACCAAUUCAGCCUCACGUGUGUGUGUCAGGCUGCGGAGUUGCUUCUUUGACAUAACAUAUAUUUUUUUGAAUGAAGAGUGCUAUCUUACUAGUCAGAGGGUUACGAAAACUUACUGUAUAUUAUACACGUGUAAAUGUAUUUUCUAUAUAUUUGCUUCUAUUUGUGUACAGGUGUGUUCUAUUUUUCAGGACCUUCCCGUUUCUGGGAAGGUUUUCAGCUAGGUUGGGGAUAGUGUCUUUGUUUACAUGUGUAACUACAGUAUUUCUUUUAAAAACACAAAACUAACCUUGUGCCAAGCUUCCUACCUGCACUUUCAAGCAGUACCUGUAUUAUAUCUUUAGCUAAUCAGUAUAAUACUUCAGUAGACGCUGCAACAGUUCAGAGGCUGGGGAGUGAUUUCCAGGAGGAAUGUCUGAAAGUACUGAAGGAUUCGAAGAGUUGUCGUGACUAUAUCUUGGGUUGUGCUGCAUUCACGGUUGGCUGGGAAACCAAUGACUUUCUGUUCUUAUAAUUUCUACAUAAAUUCUAAUAUUGAGUGUUUCAUCACAUACAAAAAAAACAAACAGUGUUAAUCCAACAGUAGCUGCCAAGAAACCAACUAAACUUGAUGUUACAUUCAUUUGUCAUAUUUUAUAUUUGUAUAUAUAUAUUGCUACAACUGCCCCAUUAAAUGUAGGAUUUGCCACAUUCUUGUCGUGACUGCAAAAAAUAUAUAGCAUAUUUGAGUUUAUGAAAUGAUCACGGAAAGAUGUUUAAAGAAAGAAUUGUGAAACGAACAUUAACCUGUUAGAAAUGCAUUACAUGAGUAGCGCACAAUUUUCAACAUUUUAAAGUGUAGGCCUAAUUUGGGUUUAUUUUGACUUACUUUCAGCCUUCAAUUUCACUGGCCUUGUCAGUCAACACUCUGGUGCCAAUGCAAACAUGUAUUUGAUAGAUUACCAUGUAAGUAUCAUUUAGCUCAAAACACUGUGUGCUCACAGAUCUGCUGGCAUAGCUGUCCAGUCUUAGGAAUAGCGACCAAAGAAAAACUUCCAGACAAACAGUUGUGGUAACUAGGAACACUUCAACUGUGCUAAAAUGAAGUCCAAAGGGAUUAAGAAGCGUAAAACUGAACAAACCAAACCGAGCUGAGAAGUCGCAAAACUGCAGUCAAAUGAAUGGUCACUUAUUCAAAUGUAACCCAAUUUAAGAACCCCCCAAACCAGCCUGGAAUGAAUUUAUCAGACGGUGGCGUCACAGCUAACAUGGUGACCGCCGGAGCUACCCAGUUUGAGCUUUACAACAGCUCUUUAGAAACCUAUGGGAAACGAUACGGAUAUAUUUAUACAGUAAGAAUGGAAAAUACGGAUAGUCAAGGCUACUCGUGUAGUCUGAAAACUAAGGCUAACCGCAGGGUUUGCAUUGUCGCUGAUUUCCAAGAUCUUAAAAUUGAACUUAGUGAACACAAAGUUGUUAUUACUGACUGACCAAAAGGAGGUAAGAGAACAACACCCAAGUUUUUAUAAACACAAAUUAUGCUUAAAGCUUACGUAAUGAACAUUGCAAUCUCUUUCAUCAAAAAUGAUGCUUGUGGUUACCAAGUUGGUCUCAAAUUGUGACAGUCAAUGUGACAUUGAAAAUGGUCGAAAUGUUAUAACAAGUCAUUGAUGAUUAUGUGAGACUGCUCUCUCAUUCUAACCAGCUACUAAAUCUGAUAUAACUGAGAAACUUGUACAUUUGGGAUGCAUUUCUGUGGUUCAUACUGUGUGGUAAAAGGUUAGAGGGUUUUACUUCAGCUAGCCUUGAAAAGCAUGUUUGCAUUGGUAGCAACACUCAUUAAAACCACAGGGAGCUGCCGGCUAAAAGCAAUUCACUUUGCAUUCCUGAAGGACUUUUGGACAAGGAAAGAAAUAACUUCAAGCUAUGAAACAUAUUUUAAAACAGGUUAUCAGUAGAACUAGGCAUACAUCCCCCUUCCUGCUUUUUACCUCUGUCUGAAAUCAAACUGAUAUGGUAAGGAAAUGCCUUACUGCUUUCUUGCCUUUUCAGUUUAUAUUUCAGGAUAGCUGAUGAGAGCGAUUUAUUAUAGCUAAGAGGGAUGAAAAUGAUUCCACUCGGCUGGUCAGAUUUGAUUCAGGAAACAUUUUCUAAGAGUAGUGCUGGCAAAGGCAGGGGGAAGGGUGCUUGUAUAAAAAAAGAGUCUUAAACAGACACCAAAGACUAGACAUGCCUUUUUCACAACGAAUGAAUAUUUCGCGACUCCCGUUUCUGUCUCUUCAGCAGCCCGUGAUACCUUUGCUCCCUUCAGCACAAACAAGCUAUCAAUCAGCCAGGGUUUACCUGUCAAGAUGAAGGAUGUGCCGCGCACUCAUUUGCAAGGACUGUGAUUCCUGUUUGCAUGUCAGACAUACAGAGAGGAACCUAUUGACAUAUGGUUUUGAAUUAGAUAUUGGCUGAACAUCUCCAAGGCCAAGGUUUGUUUGAUUUGCAUAUCAUGGGAAGCGUUCCCAAGAGGAGAGAAAUCAAUGUUUAGACUCAGCUGGCCUUGGGGUGUCUGAUUAUGGUACAAACAUGUCGGCAUUAAUGUUACAUGGUGGUGAAUUUCAUUUAAAACAGAAGUCAAUAGGUCGCUCAAACAGCAGGGAGAGAAAUACUUGUUCUGACGACAAAAAAGGAAAAAGUUUAUCUUUACAAGCCGAGAUAUGUAUCCUGCUAAAUCCAUUUGUCAGAAAACUGCAUCUCCUCACUCCGCUUCUCCUUAUUGUUUCAGAAAAAUCACGUACUGUGCGCUUACUGUAAAGCGGAGGGCUCCGACACUCCUUUGGGUCAUGUUUUCACUUUUCUAUUCAAAAAAGCUAAGGCGCUGUCAGUGCGUAUCAAUCAUAUAAUAAUCCACACUCUGGUUGCAACAUCUCAAUUCCAGCUGUGUGACCCAAAUCUGACAGAUUUGACAUUGUACAAUGCCUUCAGAACAGAGAGUUAGCCUGGAAUGAGUAACACCGCAAGGAAAUAGAUCCAUUGCUCCAUGAGUUGAUCAAAAAAUAAAUAAAACACUCAUACAAACACUUUCAAUCUUCAGGGCUGAGGAAGUUGUACAGGUCUUUUUUUCUCCUUUUUUUGGGAUGGGAGGGAGGUCUUUUGACAUGUGGGCACACAAGUGGUCUGUUCAUCGAAGCCGACUUACAAUCACUAUCCAUCCCCACCAUGAAGAAGCUGAUUCGAGUUGUGUUGUCGCCAUAAAAAUGAAGAGUUUGUACUUUGUGACUCUUAAGAUUUUUUAUAUUUGUGUUUAAUAUAUCAAUGAGUACCUCUGUUAACUUUUGUAUAAGACCUAUAGUAUAAACACACACACAUGCACACACAACACACCUCCACAAAAGGGACUCCAGUCUGUCUCUGUGACGGCUAAAUGUUGUGUACAUUUUAUUUUGUGUCCUAUGAACCACAUCUUCCUUUUGUAGUUAUUGGUAAACGUUUCGAUUUCCAAGUGACUUUGAUUUGGUUACUCUUGUACUACUAAGCUCUGUAUUUGCAAGCACUGUAAAUGCGAUUCUCAUUGGAUUCGUCCUCUGUACAUUUAGUACUCUGAUGUUGCUAUUAA